rnacentral:rRNA from 1 species
UAAGACGAACCGUGCGAACGUUGUUCGGAAUCGCUGGGCUUAAAGGGCGCGUAGGCGGGCACUAAAGUCAGGGGUGAAAUCCCUUAGCUUAACUGAGGAACUGCCUUUGAUACUGAAUGCCUCGAGUAAGGUAGGGGCAUGCGGAACUGAUGGUGGAGCGGUGAAAUGUGUUGAUAUCAUCAGGAACUCCGGUGGCGAAGGCGGCAUGCUGGACCUUCACUGACGCUGAGGCGCGAAAGCCAGGGGAGCGAACG